rnacentral:lncRNA from 1 species
UGUUCUGAGAUUAAGGUCUUCAUCUGGAUCCAGUCCUGAUCCUCUAAUGUUCCCAGACUCUGAAAUGCACAUUUCCUCUGCUUCACCUGUCUUAACAGUUCCCCGAGUCCUUAGUCUAUUUCAUCCAAAUAAAUCUUCAGACUAAAACCUCCCCCUAAUCCUUCAAUUUCUUCACCCACCUUUCUGUGACACUCCAAGCAUCUCA